rnacentral:hammerhead_ribozyme from 1 species
AUCUAGAUGACAGGUCCUAAAUAGGACGAAAUGUGCAUCCUGGAU